rnacentral:rRNA from 1 species
AGAGUUUGAUCCUGGCUCAGGAUGAACGCUGGCGGCGUGCUUAACACAUGCAAGUCGAACGAGCCUUCGGGCUAGUGGCGGACGGGUGAGUAACGCGUGAGAAUCUGCCCUCAGGAGGGGGAUAACGGCUGGAAACGGCCGCUAAUACCCCAUAUGCCGCGAGGUGAAAUGAGAAAUCGCCUGAGGAUGAGCUCGCGUCUGAUUAGCUAGUUGGUGGGGUAAGAGCCUACCAAGGCAUCGAUCAGUAGCUGGUCUGAGAGGAUGAUCAGCCACACUGGGACUGAGACACGGCCCAGACUCCUACGGGAGGCAGCAGUGGGGAAUUUUCCGCAAUGGGCGCAAGCCUGACGGAGCAACGCCGCGUGAGGGAUGAAGGCCUCUGGGCUGUAAACCUCUUUUCUCAAGGAAGAAGAACUGACGGUACUUGAGGAAUAAGCCACGGCUAAUUCCGUGCCAGCAGCCGCGGUAAUACGGGAGUGGCAAGCGUUAUCCGGAAUUAUUGGGCGUAAAGCGUCCGCAGGCGGUCUUGAAAGUCUGUUGUUAAAGCGUGGAGCUCAACUCCAUUUCAGCAAUGGAAACUAGAAGACUAGAGUGUGGUAGGGGCAGAGGGAAUUCCCGGUGUAGCGGUGAAAUGCGUAGAUAUCGGGAAGAACACCAGUGGCGAAGGCGCUCUGCUGGGCCAUAACUGACGCUCAUGGACGAAAGCCAGGGGAGCGAAAGGGAUUAGAUACCCCUGUAGUCCUGGCCGUAAACGAUGAACACUAGGUGUCGGGGGAAUCGACCCCCUCGGUGUCGUAGCCAACGCGUUAAGUGUUCCGCCUGGGGAGUACGCACGCAAGUGUGAAACUCAAAGGAAUUGACGGGGGCCCGCACAAGCGGUGGAGUAUGUGGUUUAAUUCGAUGCAACGCGAAGAACCUUACCAGGGUUUGACAUCCUGCGAAUCUUUUGGAAACAGAAGAGUGCCUUCGGGAGCGCAGAGACAGGUGGUGCAUGGCUGUCGUCAGCUCGUGUCGUGAGAUGUUGGGUUAAGUCCCGCAACGAGCGCAACCCACGUCUUUAGUUGCCAGCAUUAAGUUGGGCACUCUAGAGAGACCGCCGGUGAUAAACCGGAGGAAGGUGUGGAUGACGUCAAGUCAUCAUGCCCCUUACAUCCUGGGCUACACACGUACUACAAUGCUACGGACAGAGGGCAGCAAACUCGCGAGAGCUAGCAAAUCCCAUAAACCGUGGCUCAGUUCAGAUCGUAGGCUGCAACUCGCCUACGUGAAGGAGGAAUCGCUAGUAAUCGCAGGUCAGCAUACUGCGGUGAAUACGUUCCCGGGCCUUGUACACACCGCCCGUCACACCAUGGAAGUUGGCCAUGCCCGAAGUCGUUACUACAACCCUUGUGGAGGAGGACGCCGAAGGUGGGGCUGAUGACUGGGGUGAAGUCGUAACAAGGUA